rnacentral:rRNA from 1 species
UACGGGGGGAGCAAGCGUUGUUCGGAUUUACUGGGCGUAAAGGGCGGGUAGGCGGCCACCGCAAGUCAGUUGUGAAAUCUCCGGGCUUAACCCGGAAAGGUCAACUGAUACUGCGGGGCUAGAGUGCAGAAGGGGCAACUGGAAUUCUCGGUGUAGCGGUGAAAUGCGUAGAUAUCAGGAGGAACACCAAUGGCGAAGGCAGCUCGCUGGGACGGUACUGACGCUGAGGCGCGAAAGCGUGGGGAGCAAACAGG